rnacentral:lncRNA from 1 species
AUGUGUUCCCUCUACUUUGGAAGCACCUACCUCUUCUCUGCCCUUCCUUAUUUGGAGGCCAUAAAGUGCCAGCUCAACUAAAUAAGAAUUCCUUUUUAUCAAAUACUAGACAAGAAACAACUUAACCUUUGCUUGAAGACUUCCAAUUAGGACACUGAGGGGAAAGCCACUACUUCCCAAGCCAUGUAUUCAGUCGCUCACUCAUUCACUCAUUCAAAAUGCAUUUGUUGCUCACCACGAGUCAGGCACUGUAUUAGGUGCAGAAUGGACCAAAUGUUUGGAGACUUUUGGAGAGUUCUGAUGGAAAUCCUAAGCUGGAAAUGUACAAAAAUUGAGGAUCCUAAGAAGGCAGUAGGAGAGUUUGAGUCAAAGAUCAAGAGAUACAGAGGGAGGUGAGAAAGGUGAUAGCCAAAUAAGCCUACACAGACCUUUGCUCAAACAAGUUAAUUAUCUGGAGGUACCCAAAAGAUGAUUCCCUAUUCAUGCACUGGAAUUAUUCCAGAUGCCUGGAAAGACACAAUAAGGAUAUACCCUCAUUCAAUGACCAUGGGAUCCCGAACGUCUACAGUGGCAUAAAACAGGAAUAUAUACGGUCUUGCUACAGAAAAAGGAGCUUCAUAGUCAUUGGCUGAGAAUUUUAGAUGAAAAGGCUGGAUGAGAAAACUGUAGAGACCAUCCCAGUGAUUGGAUGAGAACCUGAAUGAGAGACAUAAUAGCUUCCCAGCUGCUGAAUGAUAGCUGAGUAUAUUGGUCAUCUUCCGUACAGAAAUAACCUUCAGAGAGAAGGAAAGUCCAGUUCCCCAGGCCCUGAGAAUCCUUCAUGCUUCCCUGACCCUCUUGGUUACAAGCCUGGACAGUUUCUCAGGAUAGAGCCGCGUCCAGCCCACAAGACUCCAAGGAUGGUCCGGGUAACCCUGGUUCUCCUGACUCUGGCCUUGCUGGCCUCCCUCACUGCUAUCAUCAUUCUUUAUUUCCAGGUAGAGACAUGCACAGGAAAAGAGGAAGCCCAGCGGAAGGCUUACCUGGAUAAUAUUACCACCCUGACUUCAGAGAUGCAGAUGUUAAGAAGUCGUCUGGAAAACCCUAGGGUUCAGACGUUAGAGACCAAGAAGACUGGGAGUGGCCUGGAAAAUGUCACAGCAUCUAGUGCUGUCAUGGAAGGGUUAAAAGGUUAUUUGGAGACCAUUACUGGCCUCCCUGUCAGCAUCCAUCAGGUACAGACCAGGGCCUCUGGAGUGAACCCUGAGAUACCAGAGGAGGCCCGAGAGUUUGAGAGGGUCCUGAACCACCUGGAGGCCCCAUUGAGGAGGCCCUGGAGUUUGGAGAGAUCACUGAGACACCUGGAGCCCACGUGGAGAAGGUCUCAGCAACUGUUGAAGUCCAAACAGAUGUGA